rnacentral:rRNA from 1 species
UACGUAGGGGGGCAAGCGUUGUCCGGAAUCAUUGGGCGUAAAGAGCUCGUAGGCGGUGUGUCACGUCGGCCGUGAAAACCUGCAGCUUAACUGUGGGCGUGCGGUCGAUACGGGCAUCACUGGAGUUCGGCAGGGGAGACUGGAAUUCCUGGUGUAGCGGUGAAAUGCGCAGAUAUCAGGAGGAACACCGGUGGCGAAGGCGGGUCUCUGGGCCGAUACUGACGCUGAGGAGCGAAAGCGUGGGGAGCAAACAGG